rnacentral:lncRNA from 1 species
UGGCGGUUUGCAAAGCUUAUGCAGACUCUAUAAGCCUCUGGUCGACACAAGCCAAUUGUUUUUCGCCACACGUGCCACUUGAUAUAAAUAAUGAACUUGAAAAUCUGAGUGACCCUAGAGUCUCACCAAGCUGUGCCAAGAGCCAUUUUCCAUCCGUAUAUGCCAUGCCAUUUCUGACCCAUUUGAACACCUUAAUGGAUAAUUAUAGGAAUAUAUAUACACUAAAAGUCCUAAAACUUAUCAAGAAAAGUGCAAUUGAGUCUUAAAAUUUUCGAAAAAUGCAAUUAAGUCUUAAAACUUGUCACGAAAGUGUAAUUGAAUCCUAAAAUUUUAAAAAGUGCAAUACAAUCCUAAAAUUUAUCAAAUUGAUCCAAUCAAAUCUUUUUAUUAAUUGUACAUUUUGAAAGUUUUAAAAAUUGACUGUACUUUCAUGACAAGUUUCAGAACUCAAUUAUAUUUUGUGAAAAUUUUAGAACUCGAUUACACUUUCGUGACAAGUUUUAAAACUUCAAAUUCGCUUAUCUCAUAAAUUAUAAUAACAAAAAAGAAUCACCUCCUUCACGCUCAAACUCUAUCCAAAUUGAACGAAAAAUGAUGGAAAAGUUCUUCACUAGUAGAGAUUGUCAUAAAAUUACGAGAAUCAUCAUUGCUUGCAGCUUCUGAUGUAUAAAGGCUGUAGCUUAGUUUGCAAGCAGGGUCGUGACUGAGUGAGAUUCCUCAGAAAUAAACUGUACCAGUAAUUCGUGAGAAUCCUCGUUGGCUACAGGGUUUUGAUGACUACCAUAGGUUGCAUGACAGGUUUGCAGCACUCCAGGUUGUGAUGAUGUUGUGUUAUGAUUUUGUCGAAUUCGCUUGGAUAUCCUGAAUGUCCCACCAUACUUUAUGUUCUUUUUCAUGUUUUUGGAUUUCGGUCUGCUCUAUAGCACUUAACCAGUUUCCCUCUAGUCAAAGGAAGGAUUCCCAUUUAGAAUUGCUACUCGUAUGGUCGCUCUAUCCUCCGGAAUCUCACCACNNNNNNNNNNNNNNNNNNNNNNNNNNNNNNNNNNNNNNNNNNNNNNNNNNNNNNNNNNNNNNNNNNNNNNNNNNNNNNNNNNNNNNNNNNNNNNNNNNNNCCGGCCCCAAACAACAUUGCUCUGAACCGGAGAGCGAGAGCACCACCUUCUCUAUCAUUCCCAGUUUUUCUAGAAGUCGUCGUCUCCAGAAUUUUCAGAAGAAAAAUCAACUGCUAAGUGAGCAAGUUGAAGAGAGGCUCCAGUUCACUUCUCCAAGUGGUCACUCUGGAAUUGCCCGGAGACAAGAUCAGUCAAAGCCAGCUGUUAUGAAAUGUAAUCUGGAAAAUUAAGUAUGGAGACUUCCUCCAAGCAAGUGCUCUUUGGGCUGUUUAGUUCGGCUUUGGGUAAAAGGCAUUGGGAAAAUGCAAAUACCUUUCGGUAAAGGGGUUUUCGGAAAUAUUAUACCAUUUAGUAAAUUAUAACUUCAAAUAGCAUUGGAAAAUAGCCUGCAUAAACACCAUUAGGUAAAACCCACAUUUAAAAUGGGCUUUUGCUAUUUUUCUUUUUCUUUUUUAAAUAUGAAAAUUAAAUCUAGUUAGGGCCAGCCGUCUAACCACCUCCAGCAGCUAGAUUUGGCCGUCCAACUACCAAAUUUGACUUCUGGACGGCCAAAUCCAGCCAUUCGAUUGCCAGAACUAACGACCUAAGGUCGUGCAACCUCAAGUGUCGCUUGGAUCGCGACCUCAAGCCAGCAACCCAAGCAACGCCACCUAAGGUCGGGCAUUUAGGCAAUCGCCUGAGUCGCGGGUCGCACCACCAAGGCGAUGGUCGCCGGGGACGUGCGACCCUUAGGUGGCAGGUGAUGGUCGCCAAAGAAGCCCAACUCAAGCGACAGAUUGGGAGGAUGAACAGCUGUGAUGAAGGAGAAAGAAGAUGAACAAUGACAGGUAAACUGUAAAUUUAUCAUUUUCAAAACGCUAAAAACUCAAAGUAAGGGCCUGUUUGGUUUGGCCUUGGGGAAAUGCCUUUGGCCAAAUGCAAAUAUCUUUAGGGUAAAGGGAUUUUCGGGAAUGCUCGAACGUUUCACAAAUUACGCAUUGGAAAGUGGCUUGUGUAAAAUAGCGUUUGGCAAAACUUAUUACAAAUGGGCUUUUUCUUUUAAUUUUUUUUUUUAAAAAAAUCUGAAAAUCAAAUCCAGCGGCCGCGCGGUGCCGAACGGCCAAAUUUGGCCGCCUGAGGUCGCGACCUCAAGCGAUGCCAUUGCCGCGACCUCAGGCGCCUAGAGGUGCAGAGGCCAGAUCUGGCAGCCUGAGGUCACGCGGACCCAAGCGACGGGACCUCAGGCGACGUCGUUGCUGCCUGGAGGCGCGACCUCAGGCACCUGAGGUCGUAAAGGCCAAAUCUAGCGGCCUGAGGUCCGCGCCACCUGGGUCAUGCGUCACGCCACCCCCAAACGGUGGUCACCAGGGACGUGCGACCCUCAAGUGGCAGUGGCGGUGGCUGCCGGAGAAGCCUGGUGGCUGGGAAGAAGAAGAAGAAGACAAUCGGGAAAGAGAAAGAUGAAUAGUAGGCGUGGCAUUUCCCAAAUGCCGAAUGCUCAAUGCUGCCCUUCCCCAGCUUUCAGCAUUCAGCAUUCGGAAUACUCAUAUUUGGGCAAAAGAGCUUUCAAAAACUUUGCCAAACACCAAAAAUUUUCCCCAAGGGGCUUUGGGGGCCCAAAGCCCCUUGGGAGUGCCCAACCAAACGGGCCCUAAGUCCCUACUUACAUUGGGCUUUCAACAUUUGGAAUGCUAGCAUUUAACUAAAGAAGUCUAAAACAUACUUAUCAAAUGCUUUGUAUUUUCCCCAAGAAGCUUUGGAGGCCCAAAGCCUCUUGCAAAUGCUCCACCAAACGAGGCAUUUGUGCAGGUGUUUGGAAAAGCAAGAGUAAGGCAAACACUUGGUGAUAGUACUGUGUGAGAGUCAGUCUCCAAAUGUUGAAAAGGACGAGUCCUCCGUGUGGAGUCCACAAAUAAUACAUUGUGUGAGUAGUGUCGGUUCUUAUAAUAAUAAAAGAGUGUUCAUUUGAAUUAUCCAAUUGAGUCCAACAAGCAGUACCAAAGCAAGCAGUCGAGGACCGACGACCCAACAAUUGGAGCGUGGUACGCAAAGACCGUGGUCAAGGAACAUUGUAUGUAAAUAUUGGCUUAAUGUCAUAUUUUGUUGCAACACCGAUGCUCUCUCUAACCUUUGCAACUUGGCAUCGUUAGAACCGCCAAGCUAUCCCAUGCCACCUUUGGGGUCUUCGCAUUCUUGAUGUGCUGUAACAACUCAUCUUCAACAGUCACAACAAGUACGUAUAGCAUAUCAUCUACUUUGAUUUUCCACUUUCUUAACUCGCAAUCGUUCGUUUCGGUGGCAUGACUACCUACUCACGUUCAAUGGUCAUUGACAUUGUCUUCGCACACAGUCAGGGACCGAAGUGAGGAGCAUAGUCUCAUGAGUCAAGGGUUAUGGGACAUCAUUUGUGAUGCCCCCAAUACGUCACGGCUAAUAUGGAACUACUAUGACAAUUACCUUUUUCAUUUCGUUCUUUCUUAAACAUGUAAGGGAUUAAAUUAAUCAUGUGAUACACACAAUUUUUAAUAAAUAGGGCAAUUUCAUUUCUUCUUCUUUUUUAUAUAUGUACAUCAGACAACAAGUGGGGUGCAUUGAGGAAAUUCAAAAGGUCAGUACUACUAACUACAUUAUACGUUGUUCACCCAUUUCCACCUAGCUGUAUGCGUGUCGUCUAACCCUAGCCCCCGACACCAUCAAAAUCCUCCCAACUCCAAAAAUCCUGCCUCUUUCUAUGCUGCGAGGUUGCCUUUGUCUCUAGGCCCGUCAGAGAACAAUGGGAGUGGACUCACCGUGCGCCUGUUGACAUGGGCGUACAUCCCGACGAACUUGGCACACAGGCAUAUAUCCCAACGAAUCAAGUUCAUCGAGAUGUACGCCUGUGUCAACAGGCAUACGAUGGGUCCACUCUCACUGUUCUCCAACGUACAGUGUAAUCAGUAGUACUAGUACUGACAUUUUGAAUUCUCCAGUGCACCCCACUUGUCAUCUAAUGUACAUAUAAAUAAAUAAGAAAUGAAGUUGCAUUGUUUACAGAAAAUCAUGUAUACCCCAUUAUUAAUUUAGUCCCUUACACUUCCGCAUGUUUAAGAAAAAACUAAAUGGAAAAGGUAACUGCAAUAGUAGUUUUACAUUAGUCGUGACAUACUGGGGCAUCACAACUCAAAUGAUAUGAGAGCCACCUAUGGGUUAUGAGCCCACCACAUUUUCGCCACGCUACUCUGGUCAUGCGAGAUUUAAUCUGGAUAAAAACAGUAUCUGGAAAAUCGAGGUCUACGAACUUGUCCUCUUCUCACGUGAAGUCUAUUGGCACCCCAUAACGGACCAUCGGGGAGGUAGGUGGGAUCAAAAUUCUAUUGAUCUAAAAAGAUGAAGUCAACAAUCAAUGAGUCACAACCUAACAAGCAGAAGGUCCACCAGUCUAUACUAUGCAAAUCGAUCACCAUACUAACAAAGAAAGGCUCAACAGAGAGUUCAUUAAAUCGCAUGCACAUCAAAUUUUUCAAAAUAUAUGAUAGACCCAUAGGGGUAAUAACUUUUUCCAACGGAUAGCUAGUAGUUCAAUUCAAAAAUACCAAAUUCAUAAUCAAUAUAAAUUCAUGAUGCCAUCAUCAUUCGAGGGAAUCCCAUUACCUCUUGGGCAUCUUGCACCGAUCCGGCAUCGCAAGGGCAUCUAGAAGAACCACAUUACACCCCGCGCAUUUGGGGGAACUCAGUUGCCCCUUUAGGCAUUUCUACCAUAACCUAGGGCAUCGUUGUCCCAAGGACUAACGGCAUUUUCAGUCACACAUUCACACCAUAACGUAGCAAUUAUGUAAUACAAUUGAAAGUACAUUAACGUUACUACUAUUCAAGAACUCAAGCAUACAUCUAAUGAAUCAUCAAUCGUUUUCAUCCCCAAGACUAAUAUAAACCCAUCCAUACAGAGUUAAGUGAACGGUAAAGAAGAUCCUACAUCCUAGGCCUAAACUAGCCUUAUAGGGCGUCCCGCGCGCCUUUAGAUACAAUGGUUAUUGUCUACGUAAAUUCUUUUGAAAAAUUAUGAAACUUUAAUAUGAGAUAGACAAGACCUUGAGGGACAUUUUUUGCAAGGACUCAAAGUUCAAUUCAGCUCAUACAGUUCUAAAUAAUUUUUGCAAUCCGAGCCCAAAACAGUCAAAAUUUCCUAACAAAAUUGAGUAGGAAAAUAAAUAUUUCGUCCACCAAAUGAUACCUAAAAAUUAUGAAAAUUUAAUAUGUAGUAGCCUAGGAUGUACUCUACAACUUUCAUGAAGGAAACAUGUUAGAAUCUGGACCUAAAAAUCUAUAGGAAAUAGAAAACGAGGAGAGGUCGGUGCAGUAAGUCCUAAAACAGAUUUUGAAUCCCAAAGUUUUCAAAUAUAUUUUUGCCGUAUGACAGUCCAAAAAUUAUGAAAUUAAAUUAUAUCGUAGAAUAGCCAAUAAGGGUUGACUUUUAUGAAGAAUGCACCAUUAAAUUUGCACCACAUGAGUCGGUACAAAAUUAGCAAAAUUCGCAGUCGGGCUAGAACCUGUGCCCUCAGUCGUCCCAGCACGGAUUUAAUUCAGAAUUUCGACUAGCUCAGCCCCUGCAUGUGCUAAAUAUCAACCGACCAUGCUCCUACGACCCAACCACAAGUUUGGCCAUUUUGAACUCGAUGAUGUAUCGAGGUAACGUGAUCGAAACUUCUGUCUAAACGAAAAUCUAAACGACGUUCAUGAAUUUUCUAGGAAACUAUUUACGUCGACAAACGAUCGAUAUAGGAUAGAACGGAUCUACUUACCUCGGAUCCUUGUGUAUGGCGGUCGUGACUCGGCAGGACAGAGGUGAGGCUGACGGCAGCGGCGUGCGUGGCUGCGAUGGCGAGGGACGGUUUUCGCUGCUUCUGCGGUUGUGUUGCCGAGUGAGGUAAGGGACGGCUGAGUUUUGAGGAUGAAAGUGGAAGUACGAGUGGUGUCUCUUU